rnacentral:rRNA from 1 species
AGAGUUUGAUCCUGGCUCAGGACGAACGCUGGCGGCACGCUUAACACAUGCAAGUCGAACGAGAGAAGAGGAGCUUGCUCUUCUGAUCUAGUGGCGGACGGGUGAGUAACACGUGAGCAAUCUGCCUUUCAGAGGGGGAUACCGAUUGGAAACGAUCGUCAAUACCGCAUAACAUAAUUGAACCGCAUGAUUUGAUUAUCAAAGAUUUAUCGCUGAAAGAUGAGCUCGCGUCUGAUUAGCUAGUUGGUAAGGUAACGGCUUACCAAGGCGACGAUCAGUAGCCGGACUGAGAGGUUGAUCGGCCACAUUGGGACUGAGACACGGCCCAGACUCCUACGGGAGGCAGCAGUGGGGAAUAUUGCACAAUGGAGGAAACUCUGAUGCAGCGAUGCCGCGUGAGGGAAGAAGGUUUUAGGAUUGUAAACCUCUGUCUUCAGGGACGAAAAAAGACGGUACCUGAGGAGGAAGCUCCGGCUAACUACGUGCCAGCAGCCGCGGUAAUACGUAGGGAGCGAGCGUUGUCCGGAAUUACUGGGUGUAAAGGGAGCGUAGGCGGGAUCGCAAGUCAGAUGUGAAAACUAUGGGCUUAACCCAUAAACUGCAUUUGAAACUGUGGUUCUUGAGUGAAGUAGAGGUAAGCGGAAUUCCUAGUGUAGCGGUGAAAUGCGUAGAUAUUAGGAGGAACAUCAGUGGCGAAGGCGGCUUACUGGGCUUUAACUGACGCUGAGGCUCGAAAGCGUGGGGAGCAAACAGGAUUAGAUACCCUGGUAGUCCACGCCGUAAACGAUGAUUACUAGGUGUGGGGGGACUGACCCCUUCCGUGCCGCAGCAAACGCAAUAAGUAAUCCACCUGGGGAGUACGACCGCAAGGUUGAAACUCAAAGGAAUUGACGGGGGCCCGCACAAGCAGUGGAGUAUGUGGAUUAAUUCGAAGCAACGCGAAGAACCCUACCAGGUCUUGACAUCGUAUGCAUAGCUCAGAGAUGAGUGAAAUCUCUUCGGAGACAUAUAGACAGGUGGUGCAUGGUUGUCGUCAGCUCGUGUCGUGAGAUGCUGGGUUAAGUCCCGCAACGAGCGCAACCCUUACUGUUAGUUGCUACGCAAGAGCACUCUAGCAGGACUGCCGUUGACAAAACGGAGGAAGGUGGGGAUGACGUCAAAUCAUCAUGCCCCUUAUGACCUGGGCCUCACACGUACUACAAUGGCUGUCAACAGAGGGAAGCAAAGCCGCGAGGUGGAGCGAACCCCUAAAAGCAGUCUUAGUUCGGAUUGUAGGCUGCAACUCGCCUACAUGAAGUCGGAAUUGCUAGUAAUCGCAGAUCAGCAUGCUGCGGUGAAUACGUUCCCGGGCCUUGUACACACCGCCCGUCACGCCAUGGGAGUCGGUAACACCCGAAGCCUGUAGUCUAACCGCAAGGAGGACGCAGUCGAAGGUGGGAUUGAUGACUGGGGUGAAGUCGUAACAAGGUA